GCUAUUUGUUUGGUCGCGUAAUAUCAAGCGGAGGCGCUAAAAGCGGUGGCAUCAAGCUUUGAAUAAAACCCUAGGGUUUUAAAAGUUGGUAAUUGCCCAGCCAAGUCGUGAAAUCUCACUGUCAGAUUCACUAGUGACAAACGGAGUGGAUUUUGUCACUACCCAUUUUGGUUUUCAGCCCUUUCCGGUUUCUUUCUUGCCGCCUUCCCUCCUUCGCCGUCCACCAUUCGCUUCUUUCCAUCUGCUACAUAUUUUGAAGUGAAAUUUGAGAAACUGUACCGUCAAAAAUGGAUGCCAGAUUGACGAAUGCAUGGCGAAUGACAGUGAAUGAGAAGAAAUUCAUUGAGACUGCUUUGGCUUCGGACCUCAGAAUCGACGGUCGUAAUCCCCUUGAGUAUCGUAAAAUAACAAUCAAGUUUGGCAGAGAAGAUGGGUCAUCAGAGGUGCAGCUAGGCCAGACUCAUGUAAUGGGUUUUGUGACAAGUCAACUAGUUCAACCUUAUCGAGACCGACCAAAUGAAGGGUCACUUUCAAUUUUUACAGAGUUUUCGCCAAUGGCCGAUCCUUCAUUUGAGCCAGGUCGUCCAGGAGAAUCUGCUGUGGAGUUGGGCAGAAUAAUUGAUCGUGGUCUAAGGGAAAGCAGGGCAGUGGAUACAGAAUCACUCUGCGUUCUUGCUGGGAAGUUAGUAUGGGCCAUUAGAAUUGACCUUCACAUCUUAGAUAAUGGGGGGAAUCUUGUUGAUGCUGCCAAUAUUGCUGCUUUAGUUGCUCUCUUGACAUUUCGGAGGCCCGAAUGCACAUUAGGAGGAGAAGAUGGUCAACAAGUGAUGGUACAUCCUCCUGAGGUGAAAGAACCACUUCCUUUGAUAGUGCAUCAUCUUCCUAUAGCAGUAACUUUUGCAUUUUUCAACAGUGAGCACACCAUGGUGGUUGACCCGACCCAUAAUGAGGAGGCUGUUAUGGGGGGAAGAAUGACAGUUACAGCGAACACUAAUGGUGAUAUUUGUGCUAUUCAGAAAGCUGGAGGAGAGGGUGUGACACAGAGUGAUAUAAUGCGUUGUUUGCGACUUGCAUCUAGGAAUGCUGAGUCUAUAACAAAGAAGAUAAAUGAUGCAGUUGAGACAUACAACACAGAGAGAGCAUUACGGAAGAUCAAGCGCCACUCUGCUUCUGUUGCUGUUGACGUUAGCAUAUCUGGUGGUGAUGUCAGAGAGCCUGAAAACAAAUUUUUCGUGCACAAGGGCAUUAGUGAGUUGUCAAGGGACCAGAUGGAGAGAUUGAAUCUAGUAUCUGAGGAAAAAUGCACCAGUCAAAGUAGUGACAUUAAUGGUGGUCUUAGUUCAUCUGAACAAGGCAGAACUAGUUGUCAAGAGGGCAAUGCUACAAAUUUCCUUGGGGGCCCCUCAAGCUGGGAUCCUUAUUCGAAGGGUGUUGAUUCAGAUUCCCUGAAAGUUUCUCUAGCUUCACUUGAUUGAAGUGGAAUCAAGAGGGAGUGGAACCAUGGGGAGCAGGUCCCCUUGGUCUGGUUCAGGUGAUCAUGUCCCUACCAGAUCACAGGCACUACUUCUGACUUGGAACCGUCCUGUGGCAACCCCUACUUAGAGAGCCAAUGGGAUUGCCACAUGGUGUUGUAUAUUUAAGGGGGACAGGAAGGCCUCAUUUUACUUUAUUUUGAUGCUUCAGAUGAUGCCUGGUUCUAUCUUAAGAGCUUUGAGCUUUCAAUUUUCCAUCUAAACCAAGUGUUCUUGGGGUCGUUCAAUGUGUGGUUCCUGGUUGAGCAUCACACUUCUUUUCCGUUUUUGGGUUUUUUUAUGACUUUGUAUCUCGGGCCUGGUUUUACAUUUUUUCAGCAGCUAAAGACUUAAAUAAUUUGAAAAUCUAGAAUCUACUUUAUAAGAUCUUCUGUAGACCUUGUGUUCUAUAAGAGUUUCUGAUGAAUGGUCGUUUUCCCCUUUUCGCAAGUUCAUGUGUGUGUUUUUUCACAUCAAUUUGACAAUUUUGUUUUACAAAAGGAUUAUGUCUGUCUAACGUGACUUGGGUUGCAUCCCUGCACUCUGUAGAAUCAUGAAACAGAAAAAUUAAUCUUGCCUCCCCACACCCACCCUACCCACCACCCCCCUCUGUUUGCUGACAACAUAUCUUAUUGGUGGUUGGAAAGUAUGUGUACUGUAAUCAAUAAUCAUACCUAGCAUUGGAAUAUAUUGAAAAGUGCACACCCCAAUACUUUUGUGAAUUCAGCAUACAUAAUGCACUUGGGUGAUACUGUCUAUGUCAGAUAACAAAGAGAGAGAGCUGAUACAAAUUGACUUGUACUAGGUGUGAAACAUGCAGGAAUAUCAGCACCUGAUAAACAUAAAAGAGGUGAGCAAAAGAGCACUCAAGCUAUGGAAGAUAAAGUACCUGAAGAUGCUAAACCAGCUACUUCAGCCACUGAUACAUCUAGAACUGGGCCUCAAAUGAGUGGAGAGAAGACUUUGAAAGAUGCUGUAAAGCCCAAGGACAAGAGAAGAAAAAGGGCAUCCUCUAGCAUGAAUGCAAGUUAGAUGAACUUCUGACCCGAGAAAUUUCAUCAUUUCAUAUUCUGGACUUACGGUUCCUUAAACUUCCAAUUGUUAAGUUGGAGGGUAGAUGGUGUUGAAAAAUUUACUCUACUCUCAAUGGUGAAUGACAUGGAGGGAUCAAUAGCAGCCAGUGUGCUUAAAUGACAACCAGAAAGAGAGUUGACCCCUCACACACAAGUCAAGGCUUUUGUGCCUGCUAAGGAGUCAGGUAUGGCAUUUUGGUCAAGUGGAUAUCAUUACAUUGCUCAAGUUGCAUCUCCUUGGAUCGUUUUUCAUGUAAAAUUUUAGAUUGAUUAAUGUAUUAUAUAUGUCCUAUUUUUCUGUCUCUAUUCCUUAAGGGGGUGGGGCAUGCCCCACCACCACUGUUCUUUUCUGAAUAGGAGUUGUUCCUGGUUUUGUUUGCCAGUUCAAUAUAAAGGUGUUCUGACAAAUUUGUUAUUUCAGAAAGAGAAGAAAAUAGAAAAAAUUGUUAUGCAAA